rnacentral:rRNA from 1 species
GACGAACGCUGGCGGCGUGCUUAACACAUGCAAGUCGAACGGAAAGGCCCUGCUUUUGUGGGGUGCUCGAGUGGCGAACGGGUGAGUAACACGUGAGUAACCUGCCCUUGACUUUGGGAUAACUUCAGGAAACUGGGGCUAAUACCGGAUAGGAGCUCCUGCUGCAUGGUGGGGGUUGGAAAGUUUCGGCGGUUGGGGAUGGACGCGCGGCUUAUCAGCUUGUUGGUGGGGUAGUGGCUUACCAAGGCUUUGACGGGUAGGCGGCCUGAGAGGGUGAACGGCCACCAUGGGACUGAGGGACGGACCAGACUCCUACGGGGGGCAGCAGGGGGGAAUAUUGCACAAUGGGGGGAAGCCUAAUGCAGCAACGCCGCGGGCGGGAUGAAGGCCUUCCGGUUGUAAACCGCUUUCGCCUGUGACGAAGCGUGAGUGACGGUAAUGGGUAAAGAAGCACCGGCUAACUACGUG